rnacentral:rRNA from 1 species
UACAGAGGUCUCGAGCGUUAGGCGGAAUCACUGGGCUUAAAGCGUGUGUAGGCGGAUCGUUAAGUGCCUUGUGAAAUCCCACGGCUUAACCGUGGAACUGCUUGGCAUACUGGCGAUCUUGAGCAACCUAGGGGCGAGCGGAACAAAUGGUGGAGCGGCGAAAUGCGUAGAUAUCAUUUGGAACGCCAAUGGUGAAAACAGCUCGCUGGGGGUUUGCUGACGCUGAGACACGAAAGCCAGGGGAGCAAACGGG